rnacentral:rRNA from 1 species
GGUCCCAAAGUCAUGGUUAAGUGGGAAACGAUGUGGGAAGGCCCAGACAGCCAGGAUGUUGGCUUAGAAGCAGCCAUCAUUUAAAGAAAGCGUAAUAGCUCACUGGUCGAGUCGGCCUGCGCGGAAGAUGUAACGGGGCUAAACCAUGCACCGAAGCUGCGGCAGCGAACGUAUCACCCAAGACAACUUUACGGAGUUGACGAUUGACGGAGCGAAGCGACGUCAAAGCGUUCAUUAAAGUCGAGUUGGCUUAGGGAUACGUUCGUUGGGUAGGGGAGCGUUCUGUAAGCCUGUGAAGGUGUGUCGUGAGGCAUGCUGGAGGUAUCAGAAGUGCGAAUGCUGACAUAAGUAACGAUAAAGCGGGUGAAAAGCCCGCUCGCCGGAAGACCAAGGGUUCCUGUCCAACGUUAAUCGGGGCAGGGUGAGUCGACCCCUAAGGCGAGGCCGAAAGGCGUAGUCGAUGGGAAACGGGUUAAUAUUCCCGUACUUGGUGUUACUGCGAAGGGGGGACGGAGAAGGCUAUGUUGGCCGGGCGACGGUUGUCCCGGUUUAAGCGUGUAGGUGUGUGUUCCAGGUAAAUCCGGUUCACUUUAACACUGAGGCGUGAUGACGAGGCACUACGGUGCUGAAGCAACAAAUGCCCUGCUUCCAGGAAAAGCCUCUAAGCAUCAGGUAACAUCAAAUCGUACCCCAAACCGACACAGGUGGUCAGGUAGAGAAUACCAAGGCGCUUGAGAGAACUCGGGUGAAGGAACUAGGCAAAAUGGUGCCGUAACUUCGGGAGAAGGCACGCUGACACGUAGGUGAAGUGAUUUACUCACGGAGCUGAAGUCAGUCGAAGAUACCAGCUGGCUGCAACUGUUUAUUAAAAACACAGCACUGUGCAAACACGAAAGUGGACGUAUACGGUGUGACGCCUGCCCGGUGCCGGAAGGUUAAUUGAUGGGGUCAGCGCAAGCGAAGCUCCUGAUCGAAGCCCCGGUAAACGGCGGCCGUAACUAUAACGGUCCUAAGGUAGCGAAAUUCCUUGUCGGGUAAGUUCCGACCUGCACGAAUGGCGUAAUGAUGGCCAGGCUGUCUCCACCCGAGACUCAGUGAAAUUGAACUCGCUGUGAAGAUGCAGUGUACCCGCGGCAAGACGGAAAGACCCCGUGAACCUUUACUAUAGCUUGACACUGAACAUUGAGCCUUGAUGUGUAGGAU